GAAUAUUGGGCAAUGGACGCAAGUCUGACCCAGCCAUGCCGCGUGCAGGAUGUAGGCCUUCUGGGUUGUAAACUGCUUUUUUACGGGAAGAAAAAACUCAUGCGUGAGGAACUGACGGUACCGUAAGAAUAAGCACCGGCUAACUCCGUUCCAGCAGCCGCGGUAAUACGGAGGGUGCAAGCGUUGUCCGGAUUUAUUGGGUUUAAAGGGUGCGUAGGCGGCCCGUUAAGUCAGUGGUGAAAGCCCAUAGCUCAACUAUGGAACUGCCAUUGAUACUGACGGGCUUGAGUACAGACGAGGUAGGCGGAAUUGAAGAUGUAGCGGUGAAAUGCAUAGAUAUCUUCAAGAACACCGAUUGCGUAGGCAGCUUACUAGGCUGUAACUGACGCUGAGGCACGAAAGCGUGGGGAGCGAACAGG
rnacentral:rRNA from 1 species